UAGGGAAUCUUCGGCAAUGGACGAAAGUCUGACCGAGCAACGCCGCGUGAGUGAAGAAGGUUUUCGGAUCGUAAAACUCUGUUGUUAGAGAAGAACAAGGACGUUAGUAACUGAACGUCCCCUGACGGUAUCUAACCAGAAAGCCACGGCUAACUACGUGCCAGCAGCCGCGGUAAUACGUAGGUGGCAAGCGUUGUCCGGAUUUAUUGGGCGUAAAGCGAGCGCAGGCGGUUUCUUAAGUCUGAUGUGAAAGCCCCCGGCUCAACCGGGGAGGGUCAUUGGAAACUGGGAGACUUGAGUGCAGAAGAGGGGAGUGGAAUUCCAUGUGUGGCGGUGAAAUGCGUAGAUAUAUGGAGGAACACCAGUGGCGAAGGCGGCUCUCUGGUCUGUAACUGACGCUGAGGCUCGAAAGCGUGGGGAGCAAACAGG
rnacentral:rRNA from 1 species